GCCCAUAUAGCUCAGUCGGUAGAGCACUUCCUUGGUAAGGAAGAGGUCACCGGUUCGAAUCCGGUUAUGGGCU
rfam:Gammaproteobacteria bacterium RIFCSPLOWO2_02_FTLL_56_15 rifcsplowo2_02_scaffold_30913, whole genome shotgun sequence.